AUAUAUCGGAACGUGCCCAGUCGUGGGGGAUAGCCCGGCGAAAGCCGGAUUAAUACCGCAUACGACCUACGGGUGAAAGCGGGGGACCUGCAAGGGCCUCGCGCGAUUGGAGCGGCCGAUAUCAGAUUAGCUUGUUGGCGGGGUAAAAGCCCACCAAGGCGACGAUCUGUAGCUGGUCUGAGAGGACGACCAGCCACACUGGGACUGAGACACGGCCCAGACUCCUACGGGAGGCAGCAGUGGGGA
rnacentral:rRNA from 1 species